GGUUGCGAUCAUACCAACACUAAUGCACCGGAUCCCAUCAGAACAAUGCAGUUAAGCGUGCUUGGGCGAGAGUAGUACUAGGAUGGGUGACCUCCUGGGAAGUCCUCGUGUUGCACCCC
rfam:Gossypium arboreum cultivar AKA8401 contig_341081_1, whole genome shotgun sequence.